GAUAAACGCUGACAGAAUGCUUAACACAUGCAAGUCAAUGAUGGGAAGCUAAGCUAAGCUUAGAAGAAGUCAUGGCGGACGGGUGAGUAACGCGUAAAGAACUUGCCUCUUAGACCGGGACAACAUUUGGAAACGGAUGCUAAUACCGGAUAUUAUGGUUUCUUCGCAUGGGGGAAUCAUGAAAGCUACAUGCGCUAAGAGAGAGCUUUGCGUCCCAUUAGCUCGUUGGUGAGGUAACGGCCCACCAAGGCAAUGAUGGGUGCCGGCCUGAGAGGGUGAACGGCCACAAGGGGACUGAGACACGGCCCUU
rnacentral:rRNA from 1 species